UGUCGUCAGCUCGUGUUGUGAAAUGUUGGGUUAAGUCCCGCAACGAGCGCAACCCUUAUCCUUUGUUGCCAGCGGUCCGGCCGGGAACUCAAAGGAGACUGCCAGUGAUAAACUGGAGGAAGGUGGGGAUGACGUCAAGUCAUCAUGGCCCUUACGACCAGGGCUACACACGUGCUACAAUGGCGCAUACAAAGAGAAGCGACCUCGCGAGAGCAAGCGGACCUCAUAAAGUGCGUCGUAGUCCGGACUGGAGUCUGCAACUCGACUCCAUGAAGUCGGAAUCGCUAGUAAUCGUGGAUCAGAAUGCCACGGUGAAUACGUUCCCGGGCCUUGUACACACCGCCCGUCACACCAUGGGAGUGGGUUGCAAAAGAAGUAGGUAGCUUAACCUUCGGGAGGGCGCUUACCACUUUGUGAUUCAUGACUGGGGUGAAGUCGUAACAAGGUAACCGUAGGGGAACCUGC
rnacentral:rRNA from 1 species